ACUGCGCACAAUAGCGCGCCGGCUCCUCUAUCUAUUUUGUGUCCAGCCGGGAGCCGCGCACCAUGAUUCAUGGCCCCAAUUAGGGGCUCUCUCCAGCGCGCCCGGCUCGAGCCGUCUGAAGGUUCUCCUCGGGGACCCGCGGAGGCCCAUCAGCGGCCACAGCUGCUCUUUAAGUAAAGGUCAAGCAGGACGCGGGAGGAGCCAGAUGCCUUUCCAGGUUUAUGCCCUUGGCUGCAGUGUCUUCCCCAAGAAGCUUCCCUGUGCUCUCCAUCUCAGGAGGGACCAGGUCUGUCUUCAUCUCUGUGUGUGUCCCAGAUCGGUGUCUAGGUCCCACAAACCGGGAUCCCGAUCCUGGCCCAGCCCUCUCUCGCCAGGAGAGCCUUGGGCAAACCUCUGACCUCCCUAAGCCUCCAUUUCCUGCUCCAUGCAAGGGGUAAGUGACAGUAUGUGUGUGUGGACCCUUCCUGGCUCUGUCUGUGGUUGAGAAGGUUCUGCUACUGCCUGUCUGCACUCUGAGGUGAGGGGGCUGCCACGCUGAGAUCACACACAGAGCCUGAGGAAGGAGGGCCACAGGGCUCAACAGGCCUAAAAGAGGGAGGUGGAGUUUUCUUGGCUAAACUGGAAUCAUCCAGGAGAACCUCCUGAGUGUGUGCCACAUGUGUGAAAGUGUGCAUGUGUGUGCAUGCAUCUGUGUAUGUGUGUACAUUCUCGUGCCUAUGUCUGCACGUGUUCACGCAUGUGCCUGUGUGUGUAUAAAGUGGGCUGGGAAUGGGAAGAAAGGUAUUUGGCUGGAUGUUUUUGUUUCCCUCACUGGCCCAGUGACUCAGGAAAGUCCCCUGGCACACAUCUUGGGAUCCAAGAAGCAGGUGAGCCUAGAUCAGAGGAGGAGGAAGGUAGGUAGGUAAUGGUGGCUGGUCGUCUGUGGGUAGAUGACAGAGGGGUGGAGCUGCUGGCACAGCUCAACACACCAUACUGAUAUUGCAGCUCCACCAUUUACUAGCUGUGUGGCCUUGGCCUGCUACUUAACCUCUCUGAGCCUCGGUUUCCCCAUCUAUAAAACAGAGAUGACAAAUGAUGCACCCAUAGGCCUGGGAGGAGCGUGACUUAAGACAGUCCAGGUAAAACACACCCUGGACCUGAAAUUGACAGCUGUGUUUGCAGGUCGGUUGAAUGUCAGUCAUACACAGGGACCUGGCUUUUACAGAUGCAACUCACCAAAUCUUUGCAACAAGCCUGUGUGGGAGGCUCUGUUGUAUCCCCAGUUACCAGGUGAGGAGACUGAGGCCCAGAGCAGGGAGGUCAAGGCUCAAGGUCAUGCAGCUUGGUGGAGCUGGGACUGGAACCCAGGCAGUGUGUCUCACCCCCUGGCUUCGUUAGCCACCAAGAUUAGCAUUACCCUAAGAUGCCAGCUUGUUAAGGCAGGAAUGGCCAGCAGAGUCCAUCGUCCUGGGUGUCCCCAGUUUUACACCUCAGGAAACUGAGGACCUGCCAGGUUCAUGUCUGGACACAAAACAGGCUGAGUAUGUGCUGGAAGACAGGGAGAGAUGUCAGGGCUCAUUUGUGUUGGCUUCAUGUGGGAACCACAGUCCCCGGCCGCGGCAGAACCAUCUCCUCACUUGCCUCUGAGCCCCGUGGCCCUCCCUGCAGCUGGAGAGAGGGUGCCAGGCUUCCCCAGACCACAUGAAUCGCCACUCAGCUCGGCAUCUUCAUCCCGCGGACUCCAGUGUGGUGGCCUCGUAAAGCAACCACACAUGCUCACAGGCAGGCCCAGCAGAGGGAACAGCGAGAAAAUGCGCCCCCGACGGCCGGUGCCACAGUAGACCAGAAGGCCAUCAGCAUGGAACAUCUGGGCACAUCUCAGAUUUGCGGCUUCCUGUAGGGUUGUCUUGGCCCAGAAACCACAGGAAUCUGCCCUCAGCCUGCAGGGAGAGCUAGUUUCCAGGCUCUGAGCACUCGGCACACUUACUUUGUGUAUCUGUCUCUGGGCCUGCCUCUCCAUCGGAGCAGAACCUGGGGUGGCUUCCCCGGGUGGCUUUCCACGGUGUCACAAGGCCAGGGACGUAGUUGGGGCCCAAUCUGUGCUUGAACCUGGGAGCCAGACUAUCCAGAAAUCACACUGUGUCUUCCAAGUUCCAGGCUUGCCGGCUGCUCCCACCGGCUUCCACUGCUCAGCUGUGCUGACAUCCAGGAUCAGCCUCUUCCACGUGCCCCGGCCUCUCCCGCCCCCGGAACCGACUUCCCUUCCCCCUGAGGCCUUUGCCCUUCUCCCUCUGAACUGCGCGUGUGCCCCUGGCGGCCCUCCCAGGACCAUUUACCUUCUCAGGCUGCCAUCCUUCCUCUUUUAGAGGCUACGUGUGCUGUGUGUUUGGCCUCUGGCUCGCUGGGGACCAGAAAAACAAAAUUUAUCUUCUGACUGCCCUAUUUUUUUUCUAUCCCUUUUUUUUUUUCUUUUUUCUUUUUGGCCUAAGAAUGAAGCAAGCACUUCUCUGCCAUCCUCAGAAAGAGCUUCAAACACGGCAGGCCACCGACAAAAGUAUACCGUCCUUCUCAGAGGGACGGAAUGCAACCGUUAACAAUAAAAACAUCCCUGGGAUUUAUGGAGGCCUUGGGCCUGUGAGCCGUUUCACAGCCAUUUGCUUGGGUGACAGAGCAAUCCAGGAGGUGAGCAGAAAUCAUCAUCCCUGUUUGAGAAAUGGGGAAACUGAGGCCCAAAGGCACAGUUCCUGGGACCGGGAUGAGCUCCCAGCUGCUGGGGUUGGCAAAAUUUCCUUGCUUUUUACGUGUGUAAACUGGGUGAACUUGUUCCAAUUUGUAAAAUCUGUAAAGAUACAUGGCAUAUUUGGUGACCGUGUCAUAGGUCCAUUCUUUGUCAAAUAUAGAAGGCUUCAGAGAGUGGGGGUGGGAGAGCCACUUUCCAUGUGUGGGGCCUGAGCCAACCUAUGCAGAAGCAUCUUGUAAGCUGCAAAGGGCUUUGUUUAAAAAAAAAUCACUGCUUGCAUUACACAAUUAAGGAUCAGAGCACAAGAUACAGAUUCAAAGCACAGAACCAGGUGUCCCCAAAACCUUGCCUGGCUCACUCGCGUUAGCCUGGAGAAAGCAUUCAGAAGCCCACUCUCCCCGCUCCACUCUGGGCAACACCAUUCCCACCUGCCUCGUCCAUCUGGAAACUGGAGGCUAUUGCCGUGAACUUCAGGGCCUCGUAAAAUCUCCUCCUGUGAUGAACUAUCUCCAGGAUGGACCUGCGCCGGGGGCUUUGGGGACAAGCACUCCACAUAAAUCUGGAGUGUAAGUAAAAACUCCCUUGCUGCUGCUGACUCCUCAACAGACCCCUGAUUUGCAGCACAAAACCCACAGCAAUCAUUUAUGUGGUCAGUUCCCAGGCUUCCAAACCCUGGAGGUUUCUGUGAAGGUUGGGCAUAGGUGGGGGGUGGGGGAUGGUGUGGAAAGAAAAGUAGCCGGUAGUGACUACAAACCCCCUUCAGGGGGCCGAGCAUGCAGUUGGUACUGACGCAGCAUGUAGUGAUAGCACCUAAGGUUUCCUGGGUGCUGAGUAUAUAUGCCAGGUGCUACGUCCUGAACUUAUAUCAUUAUCUAGUUCAGGUUUCUUGACAGCCUGGAAAAUAGGCACUAUUGUUCCCUGAUUUUAAGAGUGGGGACAAUGAGGCUCAGAACAGCGAAUGCACAUCCCCAACAUCACAGAGCUGGGAAGUGGCAGGGCUGGAUUCAAACCCAGGCGACCUGGCUGAGGUCCCUGCUCUGCUCCACCCUGCUGUGUGCCCAGCUCCUGGCCUGCCAGCCAGCCUCCCGAUCCUCUGAAAUAAAGGCAUCCUUGUCCCUGGCUGGAUACUGCCAGGGAGGCCAAUGGCCAGGGCUUGCUGGACGCCUUUAGGGCCUGCCUAUGGCUCCAUGGGCAGCCUACCCAGCCCAUGUCCCCUCACCCUCAGCGACCCCGGCUCACAGGCCCUGGAACACUGGGCGGGGGUGGAUGGUGGCAGGUCCUCAGUGCCGGCUAAUGGGGGCAGGGACUAGUUAGGCAGUAGCAACAGAUUCUUUCCAGCUGUUCCUCUGAGUCACUGGAGGAUUUUCCAAGCCCGACCGCCAGCCCACCUGCUCGCCUGCCCUAGUCUUAUUUCUGUGGUCAGUUGGUGCUGGACUCAGGAAGGGGUCAUAAAGGGGGACCAAAACGUGCAUCUGACACUAAACUGAGGGGUUGCAUUUUAAAACCUUUAAUUGAAGUGUAGCCUCUCUACGGAAAAGUGUGCAUCACCGUGUGGGCACAGCUUAUGGAAUGUUCACCGAUUGAGCACAUCUGUGUAACUAGUACCCAGAAGGCAGGUAUGUCCAGCCUCCCAGAAGCCCCCUUGUGCCCCUUCGAGACACUACUGCCCAGCAAGGGUAACAACAUACAGCCAGAGCUCCAGGUGUCCUGCCUUCUAACAUCAAACCAACUUCUUAGCAACUUUAUUGAGAUGUAAUUCGUAUACCAUGCAACCUACCAACUCAGUGAUCCGCACUUCUGUGGCUUGCAGUGUAUUGUUCAGCUGUCACCACAAUUUCAGAACAUUUCCAUCGCCCCCAAAAGAAACUCAGUACCCCUGAGCUGUCACGUCCCGGCCCCUCCCAGCCCUGGCCGCUCUUAAGCAGCUUUCUGUGUCUGUGGAUCUGCCCGUUCUGGGCGCUUCA